UAUCUGCAUGUGUACUGUCAGGACUAGAUUUCCUAAAACCUCAAACAGCAUCGUCUUACAUCCCAGUAUGUCCAACCAAAACUCAGUAAUAUAAAAAUAGAAUUAAAUAU